AGUCUCAUUCGGAUUGGAGUCUGCAACCCGACUCCAUGAAGCUGGAUUCGCUAGUAAUCGCGCAUCAGCCACGGCGCGGUGAAUACGUUCCCGGGCCUUGUACACACCGCCCGUCAAGCCAUGGAAGCCGGGAGUGCCUGAAGUACGCGACCGCAAGGAGCGUCCUAAGGUAAAACCGGUGACUGGGGCUAAGUCGUAACAAGGUACC
rnacentral:rRNA from 1 species